rnacentral:rRNA from 1 species
GACGAACGCUGGCGGCGUGCUUAACACAUGCAAGUCGAACGGAAAGGCCCUGCUUUUGUGGGGUGCUCGAGUGGCGAACGGGUGAGUAACACGUGAGUAACCUGCCCUUGACUUUGGGAUAACUUCAGGAAACUGGGGCUAAUACCGGAUAGGAGCUCCUACUGCAUGGUGGGGGUUGGAAAGUUUCGGCGGUUGGGGAUGGACUCGCGGCUUAUCAGCUUGUUGGUGGGGUAGUGGCUUACCAAGGCUUUGACGGGUAGCCGGCCUGAGAGGGUGACCGGCCACAUUGGGACUGAGAUACGGCCCAGACUCCUACGGGAGGCAGCAGUGGGGAAGAUUGCACAAUGGGCGGAAGCCUGAUGCAGCAACGCCGCGUGCGGGAUGACGGCCUUCGGGUUGUAAACCGCUUUCGCCUGUGACGAAGCGUGAGUGACGGUAAUGGGUAAAGAAGCACCGGCUAACUACGUG